rnacentral:rRNA from 1 species
AGAUUGAACGCUAGCGGGAUGCUUUACACAUGCAAGUCGAACGGCAGCGCGGACUUCGGUCUGGCGGCGAGUGGCGAACGGGUGAGUAAUAUAUCGGAACGUGCCCAGUAGCGGGGGGAUAACUACGCGAAAGCGUGGCUAAUACCGCAUACGCCCUACGGGGGAAAGGGGGGGAUCGCAAGACCUCUCACUAUUGGAGCGGCCGAUAUCAGAUUAGCUAGUUGGUGAGGUAAAGGCUCACCAAGGCGACGAUCUGUAGCUGGUUUGAGAGGACGACCAGCCACACUGGGACUGAGACACGGCCCAGACUCCUACGGGAGCAGCAGUGGGGAAUUUGGACAAUGGGGAACCUGAUCCAGCCAUCCCGCGUGUGCGAUGAAGGUCCUCGGGUUGUAAGCAUUUUGGCGAGGAAGAACGGCGUUAGACUAAUAUUCAGCGUCACUGACGGUACCUGCAGAAUAAGACGACCGACUAACACGUAGCCAGCACGCG